GAUGAAGAACGUAGCGAAGUGCGAUAAGUAAUGUGAAUUGCAGAAUUCCGUGAAUCAUCGAAUCUUUGAACGCAUAUUGCACUUUCUGGUAUUCCGGAAAGUAUGCCUGUUUGAGGGUCAGUUAAAUAAAAAUCGGUGUUGUUGCUGCCUUUCGUGGUGACGCGUCGGAAUUGAGUCGUCUUAUCUUCGGCUAAGUGACUUAAAAUUUUAUAUGAUUUUCGAACGUAUUUAAAUUGCUUACGUACGUUCGAGAUAUCGAAUAUUUUAUUAGGUUCGGUCAUCCUUAUGACUCGCGCCUAUAAUUUUUUCAUUAAAUGACCUCAAAUCAGGUAAGAAUACCCGCUGAACUUAAGCAUAUCAAUAAGCAGAGGA
rnacentral:misc_RNA from 1 species